AGAAUCCCGUGAACCAUCGAGUUUUUGAACGCAAGUUGCGCCCGAAGCCAUUCGGCUGAGGGCACGUCUGCCUGGGCGUCACGC
rnacentral:rRNA from 1 species